GGUAACAGGGAGCAGCUUGCUGCUCUGCUGACGAGUGGCGGACGGGUGAGUAAUGUCUGGGAAACUGCCCGAUGGAGGGGGAUAACUACUGGAAACGGUAGCUAAUACCGCAUAAUGUCUACGGACCAAAGUGGGGGACCUUCGGGCCUCAUGCCAUCAGAUGUGCCCAGAUGGGAUUAGCUAGUAGGUGGGGUAAUGGCUCACCUAGGCGACGAUCCCUAGCUGGUCUGAGAGGAUGACCAGCCACACUGGAACUGAGACACGGCCCAGACUCCUACGGGAGGCAGCAGUGGGGAAUUUUCCGCAAUGGGCGAAAGCCUGACGGAGCAAUGCCGCGUGGAGGUAGAAGGCCCACGGGUCGUGAACUUCUUUUCCCGGAGAAGAAGCAAUGACGGUAUCUGGGGAAUAAGCAUCGGCUAACUCU
rnacentral:rRNA from 1 species